rnacentral:tRNA from 1 species
CCCCCCGUAGCUCAGCCCGGUUAGAGCGACCGGCUGUAGACCGGUAGGUCCCGGGUUCGAAUCCCGGCGGGGGGACCA